CUGACAUGUUAACACACUACACCAUUAUGCUAAAUAUGAAUGAAAUUGGUCAAGUGGUUCUUCAGCUAUCGCGCUAACAAGCAAAAACGGACAGAAGUAAUAAAUAAAUAAAUGCUAGGAAUGUUAAGGUAUAAAAGUGGGUUUUUAACAGACUUAAAUAUGUUGAUGGAGGUGGCAGACCUACUUGUCAGAGGGAGGGGUUCAAAGAAGACCAGAGUAUGUGCUAAGGAGAUGUCACGUACUGAGUUUACCCAUGUACCAGAACUGUAUAUUUUGCAUGGGUGAAAAAUUGGGAGUUUGUUCUGUACUGAGUUUACCCUUUCUGUGUGUGGACCAAAAUCAGGUUUACAGUCGGGUUAUUUUUCUCCAUAAAUUGAAACUAGCUCUCUUGUCCUUUCUGCACACAGAAAAGGUAAACUUGGUAGAGAACAAACUUCCUGUUUUUUGUGCAUGCGCAGAUAGCAAAUAUACCAAUCUGGCACAGGGGUCAUCUCAGUACAUGAAAGAGGUCCGAGAUACGGAGCUGUACAAUAACGGAAUUACAAUUUCAGCAAAAUUUGGCCAUAUUUUAUCUUACCAUUAAAAAUGUACUACAUA